UGGGGAAUAUUGCACAAUGGACGGAAGUCUGAUGCAGCAACGCCGCGUGCGGGAUGACGGCCUUCGGGUUGUAAACCGCUUUUUCUCAUGACGAAGUUUUUUGACGGUAGUGGGGGAAGAAGCACCGGCUAACUACGUGCCAGCAGCCGCGGUGAUACGUAGGGUGCGAGCGUUGUCCGGAAUUAUUGGGCGUAAAGAGCUUGUAGGCGGUUUGUCGCGUCGAUAGUGCAAACUCAGUGCUUAACGCUGAGCCUGCUGUUGAUACGGGCAGACUAGAGGAAGGUAGGGGAGAAUGGAAUUCCCGGUGGAGCGGUGGAAUGCGCAGAUAUCGGGAGGAACACCGGGGGCGAAGGCGGUUCUCUGGGCCUUUCCUGACGCUGAGAAGCGAAAGCGUGGGGAGCGAACAGG
rnacentral:rRNA from 1 species